rnacentral:misc_RNA from 1 species
GUUUGUUCUAAGUAAGUCCAAAUCAAAACCAUUUAUUUUGGCCAAGAUGUGUGGCUCCAUCCAGCCAAUUAGGGAACACUCCUUAUUGGAGUCCAUAAUGAAAAUUAAGUGUUGUUGUCCCCAAAUAAGUGAUGGAUGAUGUUGAAGUUUCUUCCAUGGCUAGUCAUUGAAGUAGGUUCUUCUGAGGAAGAUCUGCGCAAUGCCGAUAAGGAGAAGAAGAUGAGGAGGAUACAGAGAGAGUUAGAGGCGUUCGAGCUAGUGGCGGUGCGAGAUGAGCUGAGAAAAGAAUGGGACGCGAUGCGAUUGCAAGAAGGGGAGCUACAGUCUUCAAUCCCAACUUCUCUGCACCAUAUGCAAUUACAAUGUGAGUCUGGGUUUGGUCUUAUAAAGAUGAGGAAAGAGUUUUUGCUGGGUUUGGUUUAAAUUCUGAGUUUGCUGUUGGGUUUUAUAAAGGCAGGAAAUGUAUUUGAUUUUUCUUGUUCUUGAGCUCUUCUCGAUGGAUUAGAGAUUUUGAUUUUUUUUAUGAGUUAUAAUUUUUGUUGUUUUUGAGUUGUUGGGUUUGUUGUGUUGCUG